rnacentral:rRNA from 1 species
UGCAGUCGAGGGGUAUAAGUCUUCGGAUUAGAGACCGGCGCACGGGUGCGUAACGCGUAUGCAAUCUACCUUUUACAGAGGGAUAGCCCAGAGAAAUUUGGAUUAAUACCUCAUAGUAUAGCGACAUCGCAUGAUGAUGCUAUUAAAGUCACAACGGUAAAAGAUGAGCAUGCGUCCCAUUAGCUAGUUGGUAAGGUAACGGCUUACCAAGGCAACGAUGGGUAGGGGUCCUGAGAGGGAGAUCCCCCACACUGGUACUGAGACACGGACCAGACUCCUACGGGAGGCAGCAGUGAGGAAUAUUGGACAAUGGGCGCAAGCCUGAUCCAGCCAUGCCGCCUGCAGGAUGACGGUCCUAUGGAUUGUAAACUGCUUUUGUACGAGAAGAAACACUCCUAUGUAUAGGAGCUUGACGGUAUCGUAAGAAUAAGGAUCGGCUAACUCCGUGCCAGCAGCCGCGGUAAUACGGAGGAUCCAAGCGUUAUCCGGAAUCAUUGGGUUUAAAGGGUCCGUAGGCGGUUUGGUAAGUCAGUGGUGAAAGCCCAUCGCUCAACGGUGGAACGGCCAUUGAUACUGCCAGACUUGAAUUAUUAGGAAGUAACUAGAAUAUGUAGUGUAGCGGUGAAAUGCUUAGAGAUUACAUGGAAUACCAAUUGCGAAGGCAGGUUACUACUAAUGGAUUGACGCUGAUGGACGAAAGCGUGGGUAGCGAACAGGAUUAGAUACCCUGGUAGUCCACGCCGUAAACGAUGGAUACUAGCUGUUGGAAGCAAAUUCAGUGGCUAAGCGAAAGUGAUAAGUAUCCCACCUGGGGAGUACGUUCGCAAGAAUGAAACU